GUGAGAGAAACAAAAACAAGAAUAGAAAAGUACAAUUCAAAUCUGCACAGAACCUGUCAGCGACCUGUGACCUUCCUUAUGAAAGAGCAGCAGUGAUCACUGGUGUCCCUCCACAUGUCAUCAGAAAUGCUGAUCAAUGAAGACUUUGGGUGUUUUCCAAACGUCACUUUUGCGCCCCUGAAGGUCACUGCAGGAAGGGGACGCCACUCGAAGGGUCGUUCCAAACGAAAUUCACAGCUUCAUGCAGUAUUAUGAAGCCCCGGGCAGACGUUUACAGUAAAUACAGCAUGCCUGAAAAUGUGGAAGACAGCCAUGUCCAAAAGUGUGCCAAGAAUGCUCACCAGAGGAGAAAAGGCUGCUGAUGUCAAGAUUUAUAGUGAAAAAUUGCUUGCAUUUUGGUCUGUUCUCACCCAAAACCGAUCAGAUCUCUUCAGAAGACAUGGAUUAAACCACUGGAGUUGUAUGGAUUACCUUUAUUUUGCUUUUUUGUCCUUAUUGUAGCUUGAAAGAGCUUGUCCCAUUCACUUGCAUUGUGUGGAUAUAUUCAUAUCAUAUCUCCAUCAAAAUAUCUUUGUGUGCCGCAAAAGAAAAAGUAAUACAAGUUUGAGACAACAUAAGUUUGAGUAAAUGAUGAGAGAAUUCUUUUUAGUUGAACUAUUCCUUUAACGAUUCAAUAAUAAGCUCAUUAGAUUUCCAUGGAGAUCUGUGAUGAUUUGGUUUUCUUUCAGACUGAUGAAUAUUUGUUUCGCGAUUGGUUUGAAGAGGCCUUAAAAUAUGGUUCUGAAAAAGAAGGUUUUGCGCUAUGAGAUAAUUGCUUACAGUUACGGGGUCCAUCCUGACCACCACAGUUUGGACUACACAAUGUGAUGGAUAUUUGCACUUUGUGGGAGAAAAAGAUGAAACUUUGUUCAAAAUGUCCUGACUUUAGCAAUCAUUCUUGCUUUACUGUUUUAUUAAUAGAUACUUUACAAAUCCCUUAAGAGACAAUGCAGUCCAACAGCAACCACACAUUUUAAUUAACUGUUGACCACCUCUCACAAGAAAUUACAAUAUAAACACUUAUUUGACAAACUAUGUUAGAUCAUCUGUGUAUGAAUGUAUAAGAUGCGUUAGUGUGAGUGUCAGUGAUGUGCUGGUGGUGAAUGAGCUGUGCUGCAGGUAAUGGAUCAUCAGCAGA